AUAGUGAACCAGUACCGUGAGGGAAAGGCGAAAAGAACCCCGGCGAGGGGAGUGAAAAAGAACCUGAAACCGUGUACGUACAAGCAGUGGGAGCACCCUUCGGGGUGUGACUGCGUACCUUUUGUAUAAUGGGUCAGCGACUUAUAUUCUGUAGCAAGGUUAACCGUAUAGGGGAGCCGGAGGGAAACCGAGUCUUAAUUGGGCGUUAAGUUGCAGGGUAUAGACCCGAAACCCGGUGAUCUAGCCAUGGGCAGGUUGAAGGUUGGGUAACACUAACUGGAGGACCGAACCGACUAAUGUUGAAAAAUUAGCGGAUGACCUGUGGCUGGGGGUGAAAGGCCAAUCAAACCGGGAGAUAGCUGGUUCUCCCCGAAAGCUAUUUAGGUAGCGCCUCGUGAAUUCAUCUCCGGGGGUAGAGCACUGUUUCGGCUAGGGGGCCAUCCCGGCUUACCAACCCGAUGCAAACUGCGAAUACCGGAGAAUGUUAUCACGGGAGACACACGGCGGGUGCUAACGUCCGUCGUGAAGAGGGAAACAACCCAGACCGCCAGCUAAGGUCCCAAAGUCAUGGUUAAGUGGGAAACGAUGUGGGAAGGCCCAGACAGCCAGGAUGUUGGCUUAGAAGCAGCCAUCAUUUAAAGAAAGCGUAAUAGCUCACUGGUCGAGUCGGCCUGCGCGGAAGAUGUAACGGGGCUAAACCAUGCACCGAAGCUGCGGCAGCGAACGUAUCACCCAAGACAACUUUACGGAGUUGACGAUUGACGGAGCGAAGCGACGUCAAAGCGUUCAUUAAAGUCGAGUUGGCUUAGGGAUACGUUCGUUGGGUAGGGGAGCGUUCUGUAAGCCUGUGAAGGUGUGUCGUGAGGCAUGCUGGAGGUAUCAGAAGUGCGAAUGCUGACAUAAGUAACGAUAAAGCGGGUGAAAAGCCCGCUCGCCGGAAGACCAAGGGUUCCUGUCCAACGUUAAUCGGGGCAGGGUGAGUCGACCCCUAAGGCGAGGCCGAAAGGCGUAGUCGAUGGGAAACGGGUUAAUAUUCCCGUACUUGGUGUUACUGCGAAGGGGGGACGGAGAAGGCUAUGUUGGCCGGGCGACGGUUGUCCCGGUUUAAGCGUGUAGGUGUGUGUUCCAGGUAAAUCCGGUUCACUUUAACACUGAGGCGUGACGACGAGGCACUACGGUGCUGAAGCAACAAAUGCCCUGCUUCCAGGAAAAGCCUCUAAGCAUCAGGUAACAUCAAAUCGUACCCCAAACCGACACAGGUGGUCAGGUAGAGAAUACCAAGGCGCUUGAGAGAACUCGGGUGAAGGAACUAGGCAAAAUGGUGCCGUAACUUCGGGAGAAGGCACGCUGACACGUAGGUGAAGUGAUUUACUCAUGGAGCUGAAGUCAGUCGAAGAUACCAGCUGGCUGCAACUGUUUAUUAAAAACACAGCACUGUGCAAACACGAAAGUGGACGUAUACGGUGUGACGCCUGCCCGGUGCCGGAAGGUUAAUUGAUGGGGUCAGCGCAAGCGAAGCUCCUGAUCGAAGCCCCGGUAAACGGCGGCCGUAACUAUAACGGUCCUAAGGUAGCGAAAUUCCUUGUCGGGUAAGUUCCGACCUGCACGAAUGGCGUAAUGAUGGCCAGGCUGUCUCCACCCGAGACUCAGUGAAAUUGAACUCGCUGUGAAGAUGCAGUGUACCCGCGGCAAGACGGAAAGACCCCGUGAACCUUUACUAUAGCUUGACACUGAACAUUGAGCCUUGAUGUGUAGGAUAGGUGGGAGGCUUUGAAGUGUGGACGCCAGUCUGCAUGGAGCCGACCUUGAAAUACCACCCUUUAAUGUUUGAUGUUCUAACGUGGACCCGUAAUCCGGGUUGCGGACAGUGUCUGGUGGGUAGUUUGACUGGGGCGGUCUCCUCCUAAAGAGUAACGGAGGAGCACGAAGGUUGGCUAAUCCUGGUCGGACAUCAGGAGGUUAGUGCAAUGGCAUAAGCCAGCUUGACUGCGAGCGUGACGGCGCGAGCAGGUGCGAAAGCAGGUCAUAGUGAUCCGGUGGUUCUGAAUGGAAGGGCCAUCGCUCAACGGAUAAAAGGUACUCCGGGGAUAACAGGCUGAUACCGCCCAAGAGUUCAUAUCGACGGCGGUGUUUGGCACCUCGAUGUCGGCUCAUCACAUCCUGGGGCUGAAGUAGGUCCCAAGGGUAUGGCUGUUCGCCAUUUAAAGUGGUACGCGAGCUGGGUUUAGAACGUCGUGAGACAGUUCGGUCCCUAUCUGCCGUGGGCGCUGGAGAACUGAGGGGGGCUGCUCCUAGUACGAGAGGACCGGAGUGGACGCAUCACUGGUGUUCGGGUUGUCAUGCCAAUGGCACUGCCCGGUAGCUAAAUGCGGAAGAGAUAAGUGCUGAAAGCAUCUAAGCACGAAACUUGCCCCGAGAUGAGUUCUCCCUGAGACUUAGAGUCUCCUGAAGGAACGUUGAAGACGACGACGUUGAUAGGCCGGGUGUGUAAGCGCAGCGAUGCGUUGAGCUAACCGGUACUAAUGAACCGUGAGGCUUAACCUUACAACGCCGAAG
rnacentral:rRNA from 1 species